GACGAACGCUGGCGGCGUGCUUAACACAUGCAAGUCGAACGGAAAGGCCCUGCUGUUGUGGGGUGCUCGAGUGGCGAACGGGUGAGUAACACGUGAGUAACCUGCCCUUGACUUUGGGAUAACUUCAGGAAACUGGGGCUAAUACCGGAGAGGAGCUCCUGCUGCAUGGUGGGGGUUGGAAAGUUUCGGCGGUUGGGGAUGGACUCGCGGCUUAUCAGCUUGUUGGUGGGGUAGUGGCUUACCAAGGCUUUGACGGGUAGCCGGCCUGAGAGGGUGACCGGCCACAUUGGGACUGAGAUACGGCCCAGACUCCUACGGGAGGCAGCAGUGGGGAAUAUUGCACAAUGGGCGGAAGCCUGAUGCAGCAACGCCGCGUGCGGGAUGACGGCCUUCGGGUUGUAAACCGCUUUCGCCUGUGACGAAGCGUGAGUGACGGUAAUGGGUAAAGAAGCACCGGCUAACUACGUG
rnacentral:rRNA from 1 species